AUUACAUGAAAAUGUCAAUGCAAGUGAACUAACAGUCAUGUCUGGUAUCAUUUGAAAUGUCUCAGUGCAACUGGUACAAUGGUCUCAAUCUUACAAAAGUAGAUUAAAAGAUAAUACAGAUCCUAAGAUAGAAGAAAGCAUGGGUGAAGGGAUUUAAAAUGAAACAAAUGGCCAGAAGGGAAGGAGGUCUCCUGCACCUCCACUCUGUGGGGUGUCUCGAAGAUGCCCGUGUAUGUUUGUAUUGUCUGUUUCUCAGGAGAUCAAAGUAUCUCAGGUUCUUUAAUCCUUACAGUCCCCCGUUUGACCCCCAAUGGGUCACAUUCAGAUGAAUCCAAUGGGGUCACUGUUAGAUGAUUGUUUAUCUUCGAGAUGUUAUCUCAAAAUUGUCUUUGUGAUGUUAGCAGCUGUAGAAACCUUCUAAGGGCUGUAUU
ensembl:lncRNA